rnacentral:rRNA from 1 species
UACAGAGGGUGCGAGCGUUGUUCGGAAUUACUGGGCGUAAAGCGCGCGCAGGCGGCUCUUUAAGUCUGACGGUGAAAUGCCGGGGCUCAACCCCGUGCCCGCCGGAGAUACUGGGGAGCUGGAGACGAGUAGAGGCAAGCGGAAUUCCGGGUGUAGCGGUGGAAUGCGUAGAUAUCGGGAGGAACGCCAGUGGCGAAGGCGGUUGCCUGGAGCUUUGCUGACGCUGAGGCGCGAAAGCGUGGGGAGCGAUCCGG